CCUACGGGAGGCAGCAGUGGGGAAUAUUGCACAAUGGGCGCAAGCCUGAUGCAGCGACGCCGCGUGAGGGAUGACGGCCUUCGGGUUGUAAACCUCUUUCAGUAGGGAAGAAGCGAAAGUGACGGUACCUGCAGAAGAAGCGCCGGCUAACUACGUGCCAGCAGCCGCGGUAAUACGUAGGGCGCAAGCGUUAUCCGGAAUUAUUGGGCGUAAAGAGCUCGUAGGCGGUUUGUCGCGUCUGCCGUGAAAGUCCGGGGCUCAACUCCGGAUCUGCGGUGGGUACGGGCAGACUAGAGUGAUGUAGGGGAGACUGGAAUUCCUGGUGUAGCGGUGAAAUGCGCAGAUAUCAGGAGGAACACCGAUGGCGAAGGCAGGUCUCUGGGCAUUAACUGACGCUGAGGAGCGAAAGCAUGGGGAGCGAACAGGAUUAGAUACCCUGGUAGUCCAUGCCGUAAACGUUGGGCACUAGGUGUGGGGGACAGUUCCACGUUUUCCGCGCCGUAGCUAACGCAUUAAGUGCCCGCCUGGGGAGGACGGCCGCGAGACGUAAACGUACAAUUAGAGUAGUUAGGCGUGAGACGNGCCGACGGACGACGACGAGGGAGGAGG
rnacentral:rRNA from 1 species